UACGUAGGUGGCAAGCGUUGUCCGGAAUUAUUGGGCGUAAAGCGCGCGCAGGCGGCCCUUUAAGUCUGAUGUGAAAGCCCACGGCUCAACCGUGGAGGGUCAUUGGAAACUGGGGGACUUGGGUGCAGGAGAGAAGAGUGGAAUUCCACGUGUAGCGGUGAAAUGCGUAGAGAUGUGGAGGAACACCAGUGGCGAAGGCGACUCUUUGGCCUGUAACUGACGCUGAGGCGCGAAAGCGUGGGGAGCAAACAGG
rnacentral:rRNA from 1 species